GAUGAACGCUGGCGGCGUGCCUAAUACAUGCAAGUCGAGCGAACGGACGAGAAGCUUGCUUCUCUGAUGUUAGCGGCGGACGGGUGAGUAACACGUGGAUAACCUACCUAUAAGACUGGGAUAACUUCGGGAAACCGGAGCUAAUACCGGAUAAUAUUUUGAACCGCAUGGUUCAAAAGUGAAAGACGGUCUUGCUGUCACUUAUAGAUGGAUCCGCGCUGCAUUAGCUAGUUGGUAAGGUAACGGCUUACCAAGGCAACGAUGCAUAGCCGACCUGAGAGGGUGAUCGGCCACACUGGAACUGAGACACGGUCCAGACUCCUACGGGAGGCAGCAGUAGGGAAUCUUGCGCAAUGGGCGAAAGCCUGACGGAGCAACGCCGCGUGAGUGAUGAAGGUCUUCGGAUCGUAAAACUCUGCUAUUAGGGAAGAACAUAUGUGUAAGUAACUGUGCACAUCUUGACGGUACCUAAUCAGAAAGCAACGGCUAACUACGUG
rnacentral:rRNA from 1 species